CUCACCGACUGACCAUUACAGAAUUCAUUAUAUGGUUCACCUUCAGACAGUAACUCCCUGUCAGUGUAUGGUUUUAAUUCAGCUGUUGUAUAUAGAUUUGAGGAUUUCUAUGUAAGUGCUCAAUGUCAAUUAUAACAUGUACUCAUACGUUAACAAAGCAUUAUGUUACAUAUAUUGCAUACUUUCACUAUGUAGGUAUCCUUUUAAUAUUAAGUGUUCCAGUGACCUAGGCAAGAAUUGUGUACAGAACUUUGAGAACUGAAGAAAAAAAGGUUGCAAUGUAUGCUAACCAUCAUAUUCUCUAUUUGUCUGUUAUGCCAUUGAACAUUUUCAAAGCAGUUUGACUGGCAUAAUUUUAUGUGAUCUUUACAACUACAGGGUGACUUGACUUCUGAUUUUCAGGGCUAUCAUGUGAUUAGGGGAUUAGGCUCAUUCCAAAUGACCCCAUAGGGAAGAACUAAACCAACAAAUGAAAUCUGUAGGGAGUCACAUUUUAACCCAAAACAAAAGGAGACUUUUCUGCCUAUUAGAUAUCUAUGGGUGCAUUAGUUUGUUUUGUAAUUAAUGUGUUUCUUAUCAACACAAAUAUCUAACACAGUGGCAAUAAGAUGUGGAAUAUCCAUUUAGUAGCUGGAUGAGAUGGCCUUUCAAAUGUCUUCAAAUAUUGAAAUCCUGGGUAUACACUCUAGGAUUCGUUUAGUUAAGGAUAAGGCAAUAGUUUACUGUCCUUCAAAUUAUAAUAGGGAAUACAUCUCUCCUCUCUUUCCUUUCUAUAUUCUUCAAUGCUGCUGGACACAUGCCCACUUAAGAUGAAGAACAGUUCAGCCAUGGACUGCAGCUGCUGCGUGGCUAAUGGAAAAGGAGCCCAGGAAUGCACACUCUCCGUAUCUACUCAAUGCCAACAGGCUUGCCUGAUGUGAACAAAAAUUCAGUCAAGCUGCCUGCUUGGCACUGUACAAGCAAUAGAUCCAGGUGCCUCACAAGAUUUCCAACUGAAAUAAGGGGCUGUUUUUGAAUGGUGCCGGUCCAAUAUUAAAUGCUUUCUUCCUCAUUGGCUGUGUGAUAAGUCAGUGGAUGUUGGUAUAUGAAAUCCAUGGUAUUUUGGAGCAGCAGAGGAUCCCAGAAAAGAUCUUAUCCAACAUUUCUCAAAAUGUGUUCCAUGGAAACAUGGAACUGUGAGAGGCUUAGUGGGAACAAUGGUCUGA
rnacentral:lncRNA from 10 species